UAAAAUGGCUGAGUAAGCAUUAGGCUGUAAAUCUGAGGACAGAGGUCCAAUCCUCUUUUUACCA
rnacentral:tRNA from 1 species